UACGUAGGGUGCGAGCGUUGUCCGGAAUCACUGGGCGUAAAGGGCGCGUAGGCGGCUCGGUAAGGUUGCGGUGAAAGCCCGGGGCUCAACCCCGGGUCGGCCGUGGCAACUGCUGGGCUCGAGCACUGUAGAGGCAGGUGGAAUUCCGGGUGUAGCGGUGGAAUGCGUAGAGAUCCGGAAGAACACCGGUGGCGAAGGCGGCCUGCUGGGCAGUGACUGUAAUGGUCAAUAGCUGACGCUGAGGCGCGACAGCGUGGGGAGCAAACAGG
rnacentral:rRNA from 1 species